ensembl:lncRNA
CCUUGUCGGGGCUGUACUGCCCACAGCUCGGCGGGGACCGGGUCAGCGUCUGCGGCCGCCUGGCUCCCUCCCUCCCCCGCCGCCCGGGCGUCGUGGGAAGAAAGGACUCCGCCCUCCAGGGUCCCUGCGUCUGCGGGAUCUCGGGCUCUAGGGGGGCUGGGGGAGCUCGCGGAGGGGAACCGGCACCUCCCCGUGCCACCACCUCGCCGAGGACGCCCCCUUCGCUUCCCGGGCCCACGCGGGUGGUUGCAACCGGCGAAGAUCCGAGCCCAGGGGACCCAGAAGGACAGAAGCUCCCCCUCCUCGGGCCCCAGCACCCACUUGGACUCCCGGGGCGACGCGCCGGGCACAGCGCACUCACUAGGCGGGAAGGACGCAGAGAUCUAAGAUGACCCGCCUUUGCAGAGGUCGCCCCUCGCAGCAUUCCCACCGCUGCGACACCCCUUGGCUGGAGGGAGGGCCAAGCUGGCUCCUCGGGCCUGGCCCUCCCCGACUGGCGGCCGAGGCCCCUGCCCUGCUGGAAACGCCUGACGGGGGCGCCAGCUGCCUUCAGAGCCGGUGCAGCCAGCAGGGUCACACCAGGCCCCUCCACAGGACUCUCCCGUGACCCCCUGGAAAGUACACAUCUGGGGUGCUGGGGAUCGAACUAGGGACCUUGUGCAGGCCCCGGAAGUAUGAAGAUUUUCUAAUGCAAUCUUUCCACCACCUCCCCACUUUUGUUGAACUUUUUUUGUUUGUUUUUUGAGACAGGGUCUCCAUAUAUAACCAACACUGCCCUCAAACUCAGCAAUCUUCCUGUCUCAGCGUCCCAGAGUGUUGAUUUCACAGGCAUGCACCACCAUGCCCGGGUGUUUAACACAUUCUUCUGAAAAAUUCCAAACAUGCAAAAGUGAAUGAAGCUAAGUGUAAUAGCGCAUGCCUGUAAUCCUAGCACUUGGAAGGCUGAGGCAGGAGGAUUGCUUCAAGUUCCAGGCCAGACUGGGCUACAUGAUGGGAGCAGCUUCGUGGAAGAUGGGGUUCGUCAUGCUGGAUAUGUGGUAACCAUGAAGGAUGAAGUGAUCCUAGCCAGGGCCCCUUCCUUAGUCAGCACAGUGUGCUAAGCUCUGGGCAUUCAUACAGGCACUCCGAUGGGCAAAGGGUAAAAAGGUAAAUAUAUAUAUACGGACUUUCGCUAUGCAUUUGCUACAUUACACAUCAUUGGCAUGAUUUACCGAGAGCAACGUCUUCUCAUGGCAGAAGGGAAGCUAAUUAAAAAUA